rnacentral:rRNA from 1 species
CCCUUAGAUGUUCUGGGCCGCACGCGCGCUACACUGAUGCGUUCAACGAGUCUAAAACCUGCUCUGAUAGGGGUGGGUAAUCUUUUGAAUGUGCAUCGUGAUUGGGAUAGAUGAUUGAAAUUUUUCAUCUUCAACGAGGAAUGCCUAGUAAACGCAAGUCAUCAGCUUGCAUUGAUUACGUCCCUGCCCUUUGUACACACCGCCCGUCGUUCCUACCGAUUGAAUGAUCCGAUGAAUAUCAUGGAUUGAGGAUGCAAGUAGGUUCACCUAUCUUCAUCUUCGAGAAGUGAAGUAAAUCUUAUCAUUUAGAGGAAGGAGAAGUCGUAACA